UGUGAAGGUGAAGAAGAGA
rnacentral:sRNA from 1 species